UACGAAGGGGGCUAGCGUUGUCCGGAAUUAUUGGGCGUAAAGGGCUCGUAGGCGGUCUGUCACGUCGGGAGUGAAAACUCAGGGCUUAACCCUGAGCCUGCUUCCGAUACGGGCAGACUAGAGGUAUGCAGGGGAGAACGGAAUUCCUGGUGUAGCGGUGGAAUGCGCAGAUAUCAGGAGGAACACCGGUGGCGAAGGCGGGUCUCUGGGCAGUAAUUGACGCUGAGGAGCGAAAGCGUGGGGAGCGAACAGG
rnacentral:rRNA from 1 species